UACGGAGGGUGCAAGCAUUGAUCGGAAUUACUGGGCGUAAAGGGCGCGUAGGCGGUUAAGAAAGUCAGAUGUGAAAUUCCCAGGCUCAACCUGGGGACUGCAUUUGAAACUGUUUGACUAGAGUGCAGUUAGGGAAAACGGAAUUCCACGUGUAGCGGUGAAAUGCGUAGAUAUGUGGAAGAACACCAGUGGUGAAGACGGUUUUCUGGGCUGUGACAGACGCUGAGGCGCGAAAGCUAGGGGAGCAAACAGG
rnacentral:rRNA from 1 species